AGCCGCCGGGCGCGGGGCCGCCCCCGGGGGCCGGGCCGAGGCCCCGCGUGGUCCCGUGGGAGGGGAAGGGCGCGGCGCGUCUCGCCGCGUGUCACGCGUUUCACCGCGCUUCGGGCACCUCGGGCAAGUACGUGUCGUGUUCACCCCCCGCGCCCGGCCUCGCCCCCCGCGAGGUCCCGUGUGCCGAGCGUUUCACACCCCGAGACCAUUUCCACUCGCUUGCUUCUGCGAAAAGGUCACGGAAGGGUGCGUAGGUUUUGGGCGCUCUAGGGAAAAACACACAGACACACACGCACCGUUUUUCUGCAAAACGCAGGAACGUCAUCUUCUGAAGCAGGAAAUGAAAUGUGGCGGCACCAGCCAGAAGGGAUGGAGAAGUUUGAAAAGUAAUCUGGCAAGGAUCAUGAUACCCCAAAGAAAGGCUACAGGAUUUCUUUCUACUUUUGCCGUGGCAUCAAAGUUUUAAGGGAAUACGCACCUCUGCAAGUACUGCAGGAUGAUAACUCUGAAGUGAUUCACUUCCGUUAUGCAGAUUAAAAAAAAAAAAAAAAGUCACUAUUCUACAUCCUUCCAGUCUCUCUGAGCACCAUUAUUCAAAAUAAAAAUAUUCUUAGCCAUGCUCUAAGAGUAGGAAUUAAAAAUGUAUCAGUAAUAGUGAUGAAUAAUUUUUGUAUGGAUUUCAAGAGGCUAGCAAAAGUUCAGAGCUGUGUAUACAAGAAUGUAUGUACAUAUGUCACAUGUUGAGAGGAAAUACUCGGUACUUUUCAGUGAUCAAAUUGUAAAGAAGAAAUUUGAUACCUAACUAGUGUAUGUGUGAAAACAAGACAUGCAUCUGGUUAUUCAUUCCAUUUUCAUUUACUCGUGUGAUUAGACCCGUGGAAGGUUGCAUACAUACUCCUGUUUAAGUUGAUAACAGCUUGAAGUUGUUUGAAUGAUACUAUUGGAAAAAGUUCUUAAGUAUCAUUUUCACUAGAGAAAAAGAAAAUGCUGUGAUUGUUGAAUGUCCAGUGGUAUUUUCUUUGAGUCUAUGCAUUAAUUGCUCAGGUAAGUCUUCUACUGGGUUAGUCCAUUUGCAUCACUUACUAAUUGUCAUGCACCUUCAAUUGAACACAAACUUUUACAGGUCCUUGCCUAAGCUAAUGUUUCCAUUUUCCUCUGCUAAGUCACAUGUCAUAUCUUCUAAUCUCUAGACCUAUAUGGGCUGCAUUUAUGAGUGCAUGUCAUUCUGGCCUACAUUGUACAUAAGAUCAUAUUCUGAUUGAUUUUUCCCCCCCGAAUGAUUUAUGUUCCUUUAAUAUGUAACUCAGACUUCUCUUGUGUACAUAUGUAAGGUGGUGCGGUAUAGCUGUUCCUCAUCUCUAGCAAAUAUAUAGGAUACUGUCAUUAAAAUUACAUUGGUAAAUCACCUAGACCACUUUCUGUAAACUUUGUAUCAACAAUUAAUCAUUAUCAGCCUGUGUCUCACUCUGCCUUCAUUCUUGUACACAGAUAAUUCUGUUUCUAACAUAAAACCUUGAUCCUAGUUCUGCUAGCAUAACAGAUAUGUAUACUUCAUUUUUUUGUGAUAAAAUUCCUAUAAAUAUUACUAGAUUGUAGAAUUCUAAUGAUAAAAAAUACCUUAAGGGUGUUUUUUUCCCUAUUGAGGUCAGCCUUCUCUAAAAGCAAUAACCACGCCUAUUCCAGACCCAGUAAAAUUCUUUUCUUUUACAGCUCCUGGGAACACAGAGCACAGCACAUUUUAACUACAGCUAUAGAUUCAACUGCGAAAGAUCUCUAUCAAGCAUCACAGAGAAUUUGAGGCAGCUGGCAGUUAUCGGCUCAAGCAGAUAGUCAGUAGAGGUGUAGAAGAUAAAUAGAUAGUAGAAAGCAAUCUGAAAACCCAGGAAAGAUUAUAAAUAUCUUUUCUAGAAGGGAGCUAACAGCUCAGGUAGAUCACCGAUCAACUCAACUCCCAGAUCAGUUGUGUGUCUAAUACUACUGAAAAUACAACAGUUUUACUCUUCAUGCCUGUCAGCUCUGAAGUAGUAUUCAAGUUGUGGGAAAUGCAGUUUGAUGUAUUCAUUUAUAGAAAUCACUAUCACCCUAAAGUGAAGAAUACUACUGGAAAACAGACAAUCAAAAUCUCAGGGACAGCUUGACCCUCUUUUAAAUUACAGUUGCCAGAAUAAAAAAAGGUUUACACCCCCUUCUUAUCCUUCUUACUUUACAUGCUACUGUAUUUAUACUGUCAAUGCAACCAUUAAAUAAUAUUAUAUUAAUCACGGUCCUCUUUGGAGCACUUCUUUCUGUAGGUGUGAGUUUAUGAUGUAUAAUUGCUAGUUGCCUUAAAGUAGCUGAGCCAUUCCAUUUUCCCUAGCAUUAGCCACAGAAAUGAGAAAGGUGAAUGUCUAUGAAUAGGAGAAGAAUGUGGUGAUUUUAAUGGCUGUAUAUUAGAACAGUCCUACAAAAUAUCUCUCUAUUCAAGUCAGUCUAAUAUUUCCCAAAUUCCUACCUAUGGAUAGUAUAGAGUCUUGCACAAGAUUGUCAAGAAACGGAUAAUGUUUGAUAACUCUUCUUGCCCAGUUUUGAGAUGUAGGACUAUUAGUAGUGGAGAGAUAGUGUCAGGAGAUUUUUUAUGAGAGUAAGCACAGAAAAGAAGUCUGUAAAUGGCACAUAGAAGUGGUAUAACUACUCCACUGACAUCUGUCUUUAUUAUGUUAACCCAAUCGAUGGACCCCACAAAGCAGCUGAAGUUGGUGAAAUGUGAAUUCUUGAUAGCAGAAUUCCAUGGAGCGGAACAACAACAGCAAAAAAGACCCCUGCUCAAUUUGCUUUGAAAGGUACUUUAAAUAAAAUUUCUGUCUGUAUCAAAGGAGUUGAAAAUCACUCUGCACGUUUACACUGGAAGAGUAUAAUCCCAAGACAUACCCAUCAAGUAUUUUAAAAUAUUAGCUACCACUAUUACUUAACAGACAACUACACAUUAUAUUCACAAAAUCAACUGACAUUUAGGUGUGUCCAUGUUACUGCUUAUAUAAGUAAUGUGCAUGCUUUGAACAGACCUCUGUAAUUUUUAAGAGUAUGAAAUGAAUAAAAAAGUAAUUGAUGUACAUGUUUUUAUUUUUAUUAUAUACUGUUCUAAUAUGUACUUUAGAAUGCUACUGAAUAAUAAAGUGCCCCUAUACGUUUCAGUUCCGAA